rnacentral:rRNA from 1 species
UACGUAGGGUGCGAGCGUUGUCCGGAAUUACUGGGCGUAAAGAGCUCGUAGGUGGUUUGUCGCGUUGUUCGUGAAAACCGGGGGCUUAACCCUCGGCGUGCGGGCGAUACGGGCAGACUUGAGUACUGCAGGGGAGACUGGAAUUCCUGGUGUAGCGGUGGAAUGCGCAGAGUAUCAGGAGGAACACCGGUGGCGAAGGCGGGUCUCUGGGCAGUAACUGACGCUGAGGAGCGAAAGCGUGGGGAGCGAACAGG